rnacentral:tRNA from 1 species
GUCAGGAUGGCCGAGUGGUCUAAGGCGCCAGACUCAAGGUGAAACCUUCCUGUGAACGGGAUUUCUGGUCUCCGAAUGGAGGCGUGGGUUCGAAUCCCGCUUCUGACA